GAUGAACGCUGGCGGCGUGCUUAACACAUGCAAGUCGAACGAAGCACUUUAUUUGAUUUCCUUCGGGACUGAUUAUUUUGUGACUGAGUGGCGGACGGGUGAGUAACGCGUGGGUAACCUGCCUUGUACAGGGGGAUAACAGUUGGAAACGGCUGCUAAUACCGCAUAAGCGCCCAGCAUCGCAUGAUGCAGUGUGAAAAACUCCGGUGGUAUAAGAUGGACCCGCGUUGGAUUAGCUAGUUGGUGAGGUAACGGCCCACCAAGGCGACGAUCCAUAGCCGACCUGAGAGGGUGACCGGCCACAUUGGGACUGAGACACGGCCCAAACUCCUACGGGAGGCAGCAGUGGGGAAUAUUGCACAAUGGGCGAAAGCCUGAUGCAGCGACGCCGCGUGAGCGAAGAAGUAUUUCGGGAUGUAAAGCUCUAUCAGCAGGGAAGAUAAUGACGGUACCUGACUAAGAAGCACCGGCUAAAUACGUG
rnacentral:rRNA from 1 species